GUCUUGGUAGUAUAAACAUUACCCUG
rnacentral:tRNA from 1 species